UGGGGAAUUUUGGACAAUGGGCGCAAGCCUGAUCCAGCCAUGCCGCGUGCAGGAUGAAGGCCUUCGGGUUGUAAACUGCUUUUGUACGGAACGAAAAGGUGCCUUCUAAUAAAGGGCGCUCAUGACGGUACCGUAAGAAUAAGCACCGGCUAACUACGUGCCAGCAGCCGCGGUAAUACGUAGGGUGCGAGCGUUAAUCGGAAUUACUGGGCGUAAAGCGUGCGCAGGCGGUUUUGUAAGACAGAGGUGAAAUCCCCGGGCUCAACCUGGGAACUGCCUUUGUGACUGCAAAGCUGGAGUGCGGCAGAGGGCGAUGGAAUUCCGCGUGUAGCAGUGAAAUGCGUAGAUAUGCGGAGGAACACCGAUGGCGAAGGCAAUCCCCUGGGCCUGCACUGACGCUCAUGCACGAAAGCGUGGGGAGCAAACA
rnacentral:rRNA from 1 species